rnacentral:lncRNA from 1 species
CUAACCUAAGCCAGCCCUGUCUCAGUUUAAGACUAUUCCUCCUUAUCCUACCACUUUCCACCCUCACAAACAGCCGUUCCCCUUCCUGUUUAUACGCUUCCUUCAAGUACUGGAAGGCCACAAUGAGGUCCCCCUGGAGCCUUCUCUUCGCCAAGCUAAACAAGCCCAGUUCCCUCAACCUUUCCUCAUAGGAGAGGUGCUCCUGCCCUCUGAUCAUCUUAGUGGCCCUCCUCUGGACCCGCUCCAACAGCUCCACACCC